GCGUGAGUCCCAUUCCCCGCUCCCGCGCGGCGCCCGUCCCGGCGCCGCAUCCCGGCAUGCGCGUUUUCAUCCCCUUUCUCGGUUCGGGACUCGCCCUUUUUCGCACAGCUGGCGCUCGACGUGGAAAACGCACGAAUCGCUUUUUCGGAGUUUUCCCGAGACUGCGAUGCAUCACGUUUGUGUUUUUCCCCGCAGCGGUGGCGGUGGUCGUGCCGGUUGCUUGUCCCCCCCCCCCACUGACGCCUGCCCUCUUCUCUCCUCUUCCGCAGACGGCAAGGGCAGCAGGCUCCUGACCGCUAACGAGCACUGGAAGUCCCAGAUCAGACACGCGCUCUACACCUCCCCGAGGUUCAGACGCGUCGACGACGGCGAGGCUUGGUCCGUGUCAAACCCCGAAGCCAAGGCUCCGGAACCCGUCACGGUAGGUAAACGUCCCCUUGUCCCGCCCGUCCCCUUGUCCCGCCCGUCCCCUUGUCCCGCCCUUUACCUUUCUCUUUCUCUUUCUCUUUCUUUUUCCCUUGUCCCAUGUCCCCCCCUUUGUCCCUCAAGUGCGCAAACGACUGACCGCUCUCCCCGUACCCCCACGAUUCCUCGCAGGUGCGCGUGUACCCCGGCGACGACGAGGCUGUCGCCGCGCAGCGCUCACACGAGCGCGAGGAGCACAAGCGAGAGAAGGCGUUGGCGGCGGCGGCGGCGCUAGCGGCGGCAGUUGACCUCCCUCAUCAACUCCCGCACAAGGCCUCCCGCGCCGUCUCCAACUCGCGCAAGAGACGGUUCAGCAACGCGUCGACUACGAGCGACGAUGUAAGCGACGACUCGCCGCACAAGCGCAACCGACGCGCGAGGCACCACGCGCAAGGAC
rnacentral:lncRNA from 1 species